GACGAACGCUGGCGGCGUGCUUAACACAUGCAAGUCGAACGGGAAGUCCUUGUUUUUGUGGCGUGCUCGAGUGGCGAACGUGUGAGUAACACGUUAGUAACCUGCCCUUGACUGUGGGAUAACGUCAGUAAACUGUGGCUAAUACCGGAUAGGAGCUCCUGCUGCAUGGUGGGGGUUGGAAAGUUUUGGCGGUUUUGGAUGGACUCUCGGCUUAUCAGCUUGUGGUUGGGGAAGUGACUUAGCAGGGAUUUGACGGGUAGCAGGCGUGAGCGGGGGACCGGCAGCAAUGGGGGGGAGAUGACACGCAGAACACUCCGGGAGGAAGCAGUGGGGAAUAAUGCACAAUGGGCGGCAGAAUGAUGCAGGAGCGACGCGUGCGGGAUGAAGGCCUUCGAGUUGUAAACCGCUUUCGCCCGUAAAGAAGAGUGAGUGACGGUAAUGGGUAAAGAAGCACCGGCUAACUACGUG
rnacentral:rRNA from 1 species